rnacentral:rRNA from 1 species
AACGAACGCUGGCGGCAUGCCUAACACAUGCAAGUCGAACGAGAUCUUCGGAUCUAGUGGCGCACGGGUGCGUAACGCGUGGGAAUCUGCCCUUGGGUACGGAAUAACUCAGAGAAAUUUGUGCUAAUACCGUAUAAUGUCUUCGGACCAAAGAUUUAUCGCCCAAGGAUGAGCCCGCGUAGGAUUAGCUAGUUGGUGAGGUAAAAGCUCACCAAGGCGACGAUCCUUAGCUGGUCUGAGAGGAUGAUCAGCCACACUGGGACUGAGACACGGCCCAGACUCCUACGGGAGGCAGCAGUGGGGAAUAUUGGACAAUGGGGGAAACCCUGAUCCAGCAAUGCCGCGUGAGUGAUGAAGGCCUCGGUUGUAAGCUCUUUGUCAGGACGAUGAUGACGGUACCUGACGAAUAAGCUCCGGCUAACUUCGU